rnacentral:rRNA from 1 species
CCUACGGGAGGCAGCAGUAGGGAAUAUUGCUCAAUGGGGGAAACCCUGAAGCAGCAACGCCGCGUGGAGGAUGACGGUUUUAGGAUUGUAAACUCCUUUUUUGAGAGAAGUUAAUGGCGGUACCUCUCGAAUAUUCACCGGCUAACUCCGUGACAGCAGCCGCGGUAAUACGGAGGGUGCAGGCGUUACUCGGAAUCACUGGGCGUAAGGGGUGAGCAGGUGGGGUUGUAAGUCAGAUGUGAAAUCCUUUAGCUUAACUAGAGAACUGCAUUUGAAACUAUUAGUCUAGAGUGGGGGUGAGGUAGGUGGAAUUCUUGGUGUAGCGGUAAAAUGCGUAGAUAUCAAGAGGAAUACUCAUUGCGAAGGCGGCCUACUGAAACGUUACUGACGCUGAUGCACGAAAGCGUGGGGAGCAAACAGGAUUAGAUACCCCAGUAGUC